UACGUAGGUGGCAAGCGUUGUCCGGAUUUACUGGGCGUAAAGGGCGUGCAGGCGGUUUGUUAAGUCUAGGGUGAAAGCUCCCGGCUCAACUGGGAGAGGUCCUUGGAUACUGGCAGACUUGAGGGGGUAGAGGAGAGUGGAAUUCCCGGUGUAGUGGUGAUAUGCGUAGAUAUCGGGAGGAACACCAGUGGCGAAGGCGGCUCUCUGGGCCCUACCUGACGCUGAGACGCGAAAGCGUGGGGAGCGAACCGG
rnacentral:rRNA from 1 species